rnacentral:tRNA from 1 species
GCCUCUGUGGCUUAGCGGUAGAGCAACUGAUUCGUAAUCAGUAGAUCGGGAGUUCAAAUCUCCCCAGGGGCU